rnacentral:rRNA from 1 species
CACGGGGGUUGCGAGCGUUGUCCGGAAUUACUAGGCGUAAAGGGCAGGCAGGCGGAUCCAUAAGUUUAUCGUUUAAGGCGUCGGCUUAACCGGCGUAGGGCGGCAGAUACUGUGGAUCUGGAAUGCGGUUGGGGAAGACAGAAUUCCUGGUGUAGCGGUGGAAUGCGCAGAGAUCAGGAGGAAUACCGAAGGCGAAGGCAGUCUUCCAAGCCGUUAUUGACGCUCAACUGCGAAGGUGUGGGUAUCAAACAGGAUUAGAUACCCCCGUAGUCCCU